AAUAUUGGACAAUGGGCGAAAGCCUGAUCCAGCAAUGCCGCGUGUGUGAAGAAGGCCUUAGGGUUGUAAAGCAUUUUCAGCAGGGAGGAAAAGCAUAGGGCUAAUACCCCUGUGUCUGUACGUAACCUGCAGAAGAAGCACCGGCUAAUUCCGUCCCAGCAGCCGCGGCAAUACGGAGGGUGCAAGCGUUAAUCGGAAUUACUGGGCGUAAAGCGCGCGUAGGCGGUUUGAUAAGUCGGGUGUGAAAGCCCCGGGCUUAACCUGGGAAUGGCAUUCGAUACUGUCAGGCUAGAGUAUGGUAGAGGAAAGCGGAAUUCCACAUGUAGCGGUGAAAUGCGUAGAUAUGUGGAGGAACACCAGUGGCGAAGGCGGCUUUCUGGACCAAUACUGACGCUGAGGUGCGAAAGCGUGGGGAGCAAACA
rnacentral:rRNA from 1 species